GUGAGGAGAUGUGAGUUAGGGAUGUGAGGUGAUAGGUGAGGAGAUGUGAGUUAGGGCUGUGAGGUGAUAGGUGAGGAGAUGUGAGUUAGGGCUGUGAGGUGAUAGGUGAGGAGAUGUGAGUUAGGGCUGUGAGGUGAUAGGUGAGGAGAUGUGAGUUAGGGCUGUGAGGUGAUAGGUGAGGAGAUGUGAGUUAGGGCUGUGAGGUGAUAGGUGAGGAGAUGUGAGUUAGGGCUGUGAGGUGAUAGGUGAGGAGAUGUGAGUUAGGGCUGUGAGGUGAUAGGUGAGGAGAUGUGAGUUAGGGAUGUGAGGUGAUAGGUGAGGAGAUGUGAGUUAGGGCUGUGAGGUGAUAGGUG